UACGAAGGGGGCUAGCGUUGUUCGGAAUUACUGGGCGUAAAGCGCGCGUAGGCGGUUUUGCAAGCCAGAGGUGAAAUGCCUGAGCUUAACUUAGGAAUUGCCUUUGGGACUGCGAGGCUUUGAGGACGAGAGAGGUGAGUGGAAUUCCCAGUGUAGAGGUGAAAUUCGUAGAUAUUGGGAAGAACACCGGUGGCGAAGGCGGCUCACUGGCUCGUUUCUGACGCUGUAGCGCGAAAGCGUGGGGAUCAAACAGGA
rnacentral:rRNA from 1 species